CAAAAAAGAAAAUCUUGACUUUCUGUGUAACUUCGUCCACCGCUCCCCCCUGAGCUACCAUCAUUAACAUCACCAACAUCUCCCCCCUCGUUCACUUCCUGCAGAGACAAACACUCAGUACAACUUCAUAGCUGCAGGCAUUGGUGAAGAGUUGAUUCCCAUAAAAAUCUGAGUCUCAUCAGUUGUUUGGAACAUGUUUGGUUUUACACCACAGUGUUUUAGGUCAGGUCUUUGCCACCUAGUGCUUGUUUGUAGUAUUUAUGAUAUAUAUUGAUUAUAAUAGUCAUAAGUGUGUUCAAGUAGUACAUAAUCAGCAUACUGUAAAAACAGUUUAGCUUUUGGUAACUUAAAUCGAGUCUUUAUAUCUUCAUAGGAGUCCCGUCUCCAUCUUGCAGCCCCAUGUUCC